rnacentral:rRNA from 1 species
GAUGAACGCUGGCGGCGUGCCUAAUACAUGCAAGUCGAGCGAACGGACGAGAAGCUUGCUUCUCUGAUGUUAGCGGCGGACGGGUGAGUAACACGUGGAUAACCUACCUAUAAGACUGGGAUAACUUCGGGAAACCGUAGCUAAUACCGGAUAAUAUUUUGAACCGCAUGGUUCAAAAGUGAAAGACGGUCUUGCUGUCACUUAUAGAUGGAUCCGCGCUGCAUUAGCUAGUUGGUAAGGUAACGGCUUACCAAGGCAACGAUGCAUAGCCGACCUGAGAGGGUGAUCGGCCACACUGGAACUGAGACACGGUCCAGACUCCUACGGGAGGCAGCAGUAGGGAAUCUUCCGCAAUGGGCGAAAGCCUGACGGAGCAACGCCGCGUGAGUGAUGAAGGUCCUCGGAUCGUAAAACUCUGUUAUUAGGGAAGAACAUAUGUGUAAGUAACUGUGCACAUCUUGACGGUACCUAAUCAGAAAGCCACGGCUAACUACGU